rnacentral:tRNA from 1 species
AAGAGACUAGUAAAACUAUUACCCCACCUUGUCAAGGUGGAAUUGCGGGUUAAACCCCCGCGUAUCUUG